AUCCUUCUCUCUAUCUCUUCUGGCUCAAUCUUCCAUCUUUUCUUCUAUCCUUCUCUUAGAAGAAAUCUACGGUUUUGGAACUUCCCCCUGCAUGUUUAUCGCUGGAGUAGUAUUAGUGUCUGUAAAUAUAAGCCGGCAACACUCACACUACUUAUGACGCAUCAGUAAAGUGAAAAGAUUUUAGGCAUGAGAGGGCGCUAUAAUUUUUUUUUUUUAAUAUGAGUUUAUAAGCACCCUUGUGGACCCAAAAAGUCGCCCGAUCAUGCGAUUUACAUACAACCUUAAUCAUUUAUUUAUUGAAUAAAUAUUGUACGUCAACGUUGUGCGAUCGGUUGCUUCCCCCAGAGAUUCAGAUCAUCGUCGAAAAUGAUCUACUGGUGCUGGUGUGAGCCAAAUAAAACCAAGCUCAACGUUAUGUGAGAUAUAUUUAUAAAGAUCCAACAUAAUGAAUCUCAAUAUGAACAACAUCGUCAGGAUGGCUCAAAAAAAAUUAAAACCAAAUGCAGUACCACUUUUGUUUGGUGAUGUUUUGAUAGAUUUUUUAAGUAAAAUUCACCAAAAUACAAGUGCCGUGAAACAUGAUGUUAAUUAGAGUUCAUGUGAAUCACUAAAGCAGUUGUCAACAACAAACUUAGGUGAAUCUUUUUCCAGACCAUUGCUUGAUGUAAUCAUAGAUAAAUAAAAAGAGUUUAUUCAAGUUACCAAAGUCUAAUAAUACCAAAUGUUUACCAAGUGAUGAGCAGCAGAUUGAAUUGCCACUAGUAAACUUGGAUAAGGAUCAUAUAGUAUCAAUUCUUGCUGAUGAAUUACAAGCAGAAAUAAUAAAAAAAAAAUAAUGAAGGAGUUAUCAAAUUUAAUUUCAUGCUUCAAAAUCAACAUUGUCUUUAUCACCACGAAAUUUCGAGUUUAAACUAGAAAGUAGAAAGCUUAAAAAAAAUAAAUAUUAGUUUAGACUGCGAAUUACGAGUUGAAUAAGAAAAAAGGAUACUGUCAGAAAGACAACGAGAAAAAAUUAAAAAAAAAGUUUAACAAGCUUCUUAAUGUAUUCGGAAAAUUGUCCAUUUUUAAAAAACCUUUUGAUUGAGUUAUUUUAUUCACUUAUUUAUAGUAUGCGACAGGCAAAAGCCUACUAAAGCCAGAAAAAUAUAUUUUGUUGUCAGAUAAAAAAUUGUAUUCGACUAUUUUAUUUUUAUAUUGAAAAAGAAAAAAUUAUAUUAUUCGAGUAACUUUUGUUUCACUUUAUUACAACUAUUUAUAUUAAACUGUCUGAUAACUUUGUCAAUUUUUCAGAAUAUUUAAUCAAUUAUUAAUUGAAAAAAAUUAAGUGUUAACUUCUUGUUGUAUACUGUUUCUGUAAUAGACCAGAUGUAAGCUAUAAAGAUGGUUUAAAUAAUGCGCGCCUAAAAGUCGGCCAUGUUUGAUCCUUGUGCGAC